UAAAGUGAGAGAUCAGUUUCAACUGUGUGCUAGGUGAGUUGUACUUUAUCUGAAAAACGAGAGCGAGAGUGUAAACAGUCAUUGAUUCACCAUCUUGGAAUCCUUAAACAACCAUAAUAUUUAUAUAUCUAAAUGGAUAAUUCACUAAUGUUUUUGUGUCAAUAUGGACAUGAGUGCUACUUUUCUACUGCUCUAUUAUGCUGCUUUUCAACAGGGAUGGUAAGACGGGGAUGGAGGUUUUUCGGCUCCAGUUGGUAACAUCUCUACUAAAACUAAAUCCUGGGAGGAGAGUUGAAAGGACUGCAAGAGGAGAGGAGCAGACCUGGUGAUCAUAAACAGCAAAGAGGAACAGGAAUUUAACAAUGGAUUCCAAAAAAUGAGGUACUGGAUUGGUCUGUCUGACAUAGAAAUGGAAUCGACCACGACAUGGGUGGAUGGCACACCACCGACCAUAAGGUUUUUAGAUGCUUGGAGAGCCUAAUAACAUGCAUGGAACUGAGGACUGUAUAUAGCUGAUGCACCCUGCUACCUUCAAUGAUCCCUUACAGAGCUAGAAUGAUGAAACAUGCAGCAAUUUGUUCUUCUGGAUCUGUGAGACAGUAACAUGUCUGUAGGCCUAACUCAAACACCAGAACGUGAAAUGCAUGUCAAUUGCUUCGCCAUAGAUGAGAACUUUAGCAUUAUUUGCUAGGUAAAUGGUAAUUCAUUGUAUGCCUUAACAAAGUUAAAUUAAUGUUACUGAAUGCUAACACAGUGUUACGUGUACUCCCCCUCUCCGGCUCUUGACAUUGGCAGAUUAUUGCGCACACCUGCCACCAUCGUUACACGCACCUGGGUCUCAUGAGAUUCACCUGGACUCCAUCACCUUCCUGAUUACCUCCCCUAUAUCUGUCACUCCCCUUGGUUCUUUCUUCGGCAGUUAUUGAUUCUGUUUCUUGUCUGUGUGUUUUUCGUGUUUCUUGUUUUGGUCCAUGUUUCGUUUAUUUAUUAAAUGAUUCACUCUCUGUACUUGCUUCCCGACUCCCAGCGUACAUGUUACACACAGCAGAUUACGGCCGGAUACAUUUAUUAACAGUACAACAUGCUAAUACUCCUUUCACCUCUAUCAUGUAGACAUUCCUUAAAAUUGCCAUUUAAUGUUGAAUGAACCAUUAUUACUUCAUUUCAUCUCUUACAGACUUUAACAAACUUUUCUGUAGUGCUCUCAUGAACCAUAUUUACAUAUUUAUUUAUGUAUAUUUACACAGUGCCUUCAGAAAGUGUUAACAUCCCUUUUUCACAUCCUGUUGUGUUACAGCCUGAAUUUAAAACGUAUUACAUUUAGAUUUUUUUUGUACAAAUGAAUAAAAAAUGAAAAG